rnacentral:rRNA from 1 species
CCUACGUGUGGCAGCAGUGAGGAAUAUUGGUCAAUGGCCGGAAGGCUGAACCAGCCAUGCCGCGUGAAUGUCAGUGCCCUAUGGGCGUUAAACUUCUUUUGUGCGGGAGCAAUAAUGGUCACGUGUGGCAAGACGAGAGUACCGUACGAAUAAGCAUCGGCUAACUCCGGGCCAGCAGCCGCGGUAAUACGGGGGAUGCAAGCGUUAUCCGUAUGUAGUGGGUUGAAAGGGAGCGUAGAUGGGUUGUUAAGUCAGUUGUGAAAGUUUGCGGCUCAACCGUAAAAUUGCAAUUGAUACUGGCAGUCUUGAGUACAGUUGAGGCAAGCGGAAGUCGUGGUGUAGCGGUGAAAUGCUUAGAUAUCACGAAGAACCCCGAUUGCGAAGGCAGCUUACUAAACUGUGACUGACAUUGAUGCUCGAAAGUGUGGGUAUCAAACAGGAUUAGAUACCCCAGUAGUC